UUUGUCGUGGUAGUGAGUGAAAAACACUGUGAGCUAAAGGUAGUAGCUAAUGUCUGACGCCAUUAGCUCGUGUCCAGGGCCGCAGUGAAUUGUGGAAUUCUACCGUGCUAGUGAGCGAAAGGCAGAAGAGAUGAGACAGCUGCGUGGUGUGUGCGCCAUUCUGAGCGGACAUUACGUAUGCUUGUAUUAAAUCAAGGAGAUUGGUCAGGGUUUUUUUCGGGGUCUUGGAACAUUCUAUUCCCUUUGUGAAACGAUCAUAAAUCAUUCCUGGAGUUUGAUGGCGAGCCUCCCAGCGGAUUCUUGAGUGGGAAGACCUGGAUGAUUUGGUCAGCAUACAAGCGUUACUACACUCCCAGUGUAGUCGACAAAGGAUUCACUACGCCUUCUGGUGCAGUAUCUUUUUCAUCAUCAUACUGGGACUGGACUUAAGUGGACUUCUGGGGUUUUGAUUUGACUUUUAUUGUUUUUUUGACUGGACUACAUUAGCACUGAUGAAGCUGUACAUGCACUGAAGAAAAAAUGCUAUCAUGGUAUUACCAGUAUUGUGAACCUUGAAUUCUUGUAUGGUUGAUUGAUUUGAGAGGGAUUGGGAUUUGAAUGUUAUCCGAUUGAAUUCCACUUCACAUUGGAUAUCCGAUUAGAUAGGGUGCACCCUAGGAUAUCACAGACAUAGACAGGAAAAAUACCCUAAGCAACCCAUUAUUCCAGAUUUACUGGUUCCUCACGAGGAGGGAUUACUUAGGUGGGUUUUGAUAGUGGCCUGUGAUUAAGAAGAGACUUAACACGGUUAAGCUUGGAUUAAUUUGGUUUAUUUAUUUUCCACGUGUUUAGCUAUUUUACUUAUUUAAAUUGUUUUGUGUAUGUGCAUAUGUUCAAUUGUAGUAAAACAUUGUUCAAGCAUAUAAUUUGUGGAAAUUCAAUUGAACACCACACAUUGCUCCAGCGGCCGAACCUAUUCUAGCUAUUGGCCCUUAAUCAGAGGUUGGCAACUUCUGAUCUA